rnacentral:lncRNA from 1 species
GAGACCUUGUCUUUUCCUUUCUUUCUUCAGGUUUUCUUUGAGCGUUUCCUUUCCCUCCUUUGGGAUAAAUAAUGCACGGUGGCGACUCUUCUGUCAUUCUUCUUUUCUCGCCGGUUGUGUUUUUUUCGCAUGAUUGCGAUAGUAAGAUUCGUAUCUCCUUUUUGCGGAGUCGAAAGCCCAUCCUGAAAUCGAGUUUGCUCUUUA